ACGGGGGGUGCGAGCGUUGUCCGGAAUCACUGGGCGUAAAGGGCGCGUAGGUGGCGUCGUAAGUCUGUGGUGAAAGCCCGGAGCUCAACUCCGGGUCUGCCGCGGAUACUGCGAGGCUAGAGUCUUGUAGAGGGGGGUAGAAUUCCAGGUGUAGCGGUGAAAUGCGUAGAGAUCUGGAGGAAUACCGGUGGCGAAGGCGGCCCCCUGGACAAAGACUGACGCUCAGGUGCGAAAGCGUGGGGAGCAAACAGGA
rnacentral:rRNA from 1 species